rnacentral:rRNA from 1 species
GGCGCACGGGUGAGUAACGCGUGGGUAAUCUGCCCUUGGAUUUGGAAUAACUCCGCGAAAGUGGAGCUAAUACCGGAUAGUCUGGCUUUUUAACGAAGUCGGUAAAGGAUGCCUCUGCAUAUGCAUUCGUCCGAGGAUGAGCCCGCGUCUCAUUAGCUAGUUGGUAGGGUAAUGGCCUACCAAGGCAACGAUGAGUAGCUGGUCUGAGAGGAUGAUCAGCCACACUGGAACUGAAACACGGUCCAGACUCCUACGGGAGGCAGCAGUGGGGAAUAUUGCGCAAUGGGCGAAAGCCUGACGCAGCAACGCCGUGUGAGGGAUGAAGGCUUUUGGGUCGUAAACCUCUGUCGGGAGGGAAGAACGGGCAUUGGUCUAAUAGGCCUUUGUUUUGACGGUACCUUUAGAGGAAGCACCGGCUAACUCCGCGCCAGCAGCCGCGGUAAUACGGAGGGUACAAGCGUUAUUCGGAAUUACUGGGCGUAAAGCGCACGUAGGCCGCUUUGUAAGUCAGGGGUGAAAUCCCACGGCUCAACCGUGGAACUGCCCUUGAAACUGCGAAGCUUGAAUCCUGGAGAGGGUGGCGGAAUUCCUGGUGUAGGAGUGAAAUCCGUAGAUAUCAGGAGGAACACCGGUGGCGAAGGCGGCCACCUGGACAGGUAUUGACGCUGAGGUGCGAAAGUGUGGGGAGCAAACAGGAUUAGAUACCCUGGUAGUCCACACCGUAAACGAUGGAUACUAGGUGUCGGGGACUUGAUCUUCGGUGCCGUAGCUAACGCGUUAAGUAUCCCGCCUGGGGAGUACGGUCGCAAGGCUGAAACUCAAAGGAAUUGA